GCCGAUGYCUGAUUAGCUAGUUGGUGAGGUAAAGGCUUACCAAGGCGACGAUCAGUAGCUGGUCUGAGAGGACGACCAGCCACACUGGGACUGAGACACGGCCCAGACUCCUACGGGAGGCAGCAGUGGGGAAUUUUGGACAAUGGGGGAAACCCUGAUCCAGCCAUGCCGCGUGAGUGAAGAAGGCCUUCGGGUUGUAAAGCUCUUUCAGCCGGAACGAAACGGUCACGGUUAAUACCUGUGACUACUGACGGUACCGGAAGAAGA
rnacentral:rRNA from 1 species